rnacentral:rRNA from 1 species
AUUGAACGCUGGCGGCAGGCCUAACACAUGCAAGUCGAGCGGAUGAAGGGAGCUUGCUCCUGGAUUCAGCGGCGGACGGGUGAGUAAUGCCUAGGAAUCUGCCUGGUAGUGGGGGAUAACGUCUGGAAACGGGCGCUAAUACCGCAUACGUCCUGAGGGAGAAAGUGGGGGAUCUUCGGACCUCACGCUAUCAGAUGAGCCUAGGUCGGAUUAGCUAGUUGGUGGGGUAAAGGCCUACCAAGGCGACGAUCCGUAACUGGUCUGAGAGGAUGAUCAGUCACACUGGAACUGAGACACGGUCCAGACUCCUACGGGAGGCAGCAGUGGGGAAUAUUGGACAAUGGGCGAAAGCCUGAUCCAGCCAUGCCGCGUGUGUGAAGAAGGUCUUCGGAUUGUAAAGCACUUUAAGUUGGGAGGAAGGGCAGUAAGUUAAUACCUUGCUGUUUUGACGUUACCAGCAGAAUAAGCACCGGCUAACUUCGUG